rnacentral:rRNA from 1 species
UACGUAGGGAGCUAGCGUUAUCCGGAAUCACUGGGCGUAAAGGGCUCGCAGGCGGUUUGGUAAGUUGCAUGUUAAAUCUCCAGGCUCAACCUGGAAAAAGCGUGCAAUACUGCCAGGCUCGAGAGUGGGAGGGGGAAAUGGAAUUCCCGGUGUAGCGGUGAAAUGCAUAGAUAUCGGGAAGAACACCAGUGGCGAAGGCGAUUUCCUAGACCACUUCUGACGCUGAGGAGCGAAAGCCAGGGGAG